UGCCCAGCAACUCCUAUCCCUACCUCCUCGCGGUACUGGCCGGGGUACGAGUAACCUUAGGGAAGAUCGGGUAACCAACCCCCGGUAGGAACUUUGGUCGUAUGCUGACAGGGAAGG
rfam:Aedes aegypti strain Liverpool supercont1.785 genomic scaffold, whole genome shotgun sequence.